rnacentral:tRNA from 1 species
AUUAUUUUGGCAGAUUAGUGCAUUGGAUUUAGAAUCUAAAAAUGUAAUUUAUAAUUACAAAUAAUA